ACUAUCAGCUCUAACCAAACUUACACAUGCAAGUAUCCGCGCCCCAGUGAGGAUGCCCUACAGUUCCCCGCCCGGGAACAAGGAACUGGUAUCAGGCACAUUUUAUUAUAGCCCACGACGCCUUGCUUAGCCACACCCCCAAGGGAAUCCAGCAGUGAUAGACAUUAAGCUAUGAGUGAAAACUCGACUUAGUCAAGGUUAAGAGGGCCGGUAAAACUCGUGCCAGCCACCGCGGUUAUACGAGAGACCCAAGUUGAUAGACUACGGCGUAAAGAGUGGUUAAGAUAAACUUUAAACUAAAGCCGAACGCCCUCAAAGCUGUUAUACGCCUUCGAGGGUAAGAAGCCCAAUCACGAAAGUGGCUUUAACACUUCUGAACCCACGAAAGCUAUGACACAAACUGGGAUUAGAUACCCCACUAUGCCUAGCCUUAAACCUUGAUAGUACUGCACACCUACUAUCCGCCUGGGAACUACGAGCACCAGCUUAAAACCCAAAGGACUUGGCGGUGCUUUAGAUCCACCUAGAGGAGCCUGUUCUAGAACCGAUAACCCCCGUUCAACCUCACCCUUCCUUGUUUAACCCGCCUAUAUACCGCCGUCGUCAGCCUACCCUGUGAAGGACCCAUAGUAAGCAAAAUUGGCACAACCCAGAACGUCAGGUCGAGGUGUAGCGUAUGGUAGGGGAAGAAAUGGGCUACAUUCACUAGUACAGUGAAUACGAAUGAUUGUACUGAAACGUAUAUCUAAAGGAGGAUUUAGCAGUAAGCAGAAAAUAGAGUGUUCCGCUGAAAUUGGCUCUGAAGCGCGCACACACCGCCCGUCACUCUCCCUAAUUAUAAAAAUCUCAUAUAACUAAGACCCCAAAGUCACAGAGGGGAGGCA
rnacentral:ncRNA from 1 species